rnacentral:sRNA from 1 species
GACACACAGCCUCUCUGCCCACCUCUGCUUCCUCUAGGAACACAGGAGUUCCAGAUCACAUCGAGUUCACCAUGAAUUCACUCAGUGAAGCCAACACCAAAUUCAUGUUCGAUCUGUUCCAACAGUUCAGAAAAUCAAAAGAGAACAACAUCUUCUAUUCACCUAUCAGCAUCGCAUCAGCAUUAGGGAUGGUCCUCUUAGGGGCCAAAAACAACACUGCACAACAAAUUAACAAGGUUCUUCACUUUGAUCAAGUCACAGAGAACAUCACAGAAAAAGCUGCAACAUAUCACGUGAGUCACAGAGCACUAUGGUUCAGCUUUAGAUCCCUGAACAGGUCAUAGUUUAAACCUGGAACUCCACAGAAACUAAGAAAAGGCCACUUUUAGGGAAAAUCUUGGACAAAAAGAUUGAGACAUACAGAGUGGGUUGGCAUUUCAUGGCACAUAAUUAUUAUUCCUCCUUUCUGCAUUACUGAAAGACAGUCAGCACCGUACCUCAGAGCAUAGGUCUGGAUCAGGAUAGGCUAGGUUCAAACUCCAGCUUUGCUCUUCACA